GUGGGGAAUCUUCCGCAAUGGACGAAAGUCUGACGGAGCGACGCCGCGUGAGUGAAUAAGGCCUUCGGGUCGUAAAGCUCUGUCAUCAGGGACGAACGGCCGGUGGAGUGGAAAGCCACCGGAUUGACGGUACCUGAGAAGGAAGCCACGGCUAACUACGUGCCAGCAGCCGCGGUAAUACGUAGGUGGCAAGCGUUGUCCGGAAUUAUUCGGCGUAAAGGGCGCGCAGGUGGGAUCUUAAGUCCAUUUUUAAAGUAAGGAGCUCAACUCCAUGAUGGGAUGGAAACUGUGAUUCAUGAGUACGGGAGAGGAAAGCGGAAUACCCCGUGUAGCGGUGAAAUGCGUAGAUAUGGGGAGGAACACCAGUGGCGAAGGCGGCUUUCUGGACGGUGUCUGACACUGAGGCGCGAAAGCCAGGGGAGCGAACGGGAUUAGAUACCCGAGUAGUCC
rnacentral:rRNA from 1 species